UGCAGUCAUGUCUACACAUUUGCUGUCUACUGUAGCUGGACACAGUAGAACAUCUAGGCUUAGCCUAAUAUUGCCCCAGAGCUCUCUGCCAGUGUAUUCACUGCUCUGGGUCAUAGAGGACGAGUUAGGCCAGAGAUUGCACUGUCUUACUGUCUCCUCCACAGUUACCCUAUUUAUUUUAAAGGGGACAACCCACUGUUAGAAAUUAACAUGAUCCUUAUCAUCUAGAUGUAGAGUUAUGCCACCGUCGUUUGGUGCACACCAUGAAUGACUUACAAACAAAGCUAGGGGGGCUGAACGAGGAUGACAGAACGUAUCCCAACCCAUUGUAAUUAUAUUACGUAUCAAUGUAGUUAUCCAGCUACCAAACCAGGCUAUAUAGUCCGGGGUUUGUAAACAUGCUCCAGUGCAUUGCAUCAUACCCGGUGAUGGAGCUUUUUAGGUGCAUCGCUGAGCGAAGGGAGACGUGUCCAAACAUAGUUUCAGCCCGCAGCAAAUAAGACAGCCUAUUCCUCCCCUCGUUGAGGUCAUUGCUCCAUGAGACAUCAACAUUCAACCUAGGAGGUUACUCCCAUCUAACUCGCAGUUGAUAUAUCCCCUCAGAGAAGAGGGAAACAUCAUACUCCGGACAAAGUUGUAAACAACAGAUUCUCUGACCAACAGUUUCAUCUACAAGGACUUCAAUCAAAACGUUAGACAAACGUAAUUCCUGAGCCUUUCUUUGGCCCCAUUAGUAACUCACUGCACUCAGCCGCCCCAUUAGAACGCAUUGCACUUAGACAUAGACAUGUUAGAAAACAUCCAGUUGUCCUAGUAUUUGAUUUUGAUGAUGAUGUAACCAUGCCAGCUUGCACAUCUUUAGAUCAAAAGGAGCCAUCAGAUUCAUUCAGAUAUGUAGAUGCUACUUCCAGAAAAAAUUAAAAUCAAAAUUUAUUGUUUUUUCAAGUACUAAAGGUUACAACACUUAAAUGUUUGGUCAUGACAUUAUAGCUGAAUAAUAGUAGUUAGUUGUCUGAUUAAUGGCCAAUGGAGGCGUUUUCUAUGAAGCUGGAUGUUGUUGCAAGUGGUAGGAUGAGAUUUGUAAAGAUGCAAAACUUUUACCUGUGCUUCUCUUUAUUUGCAAAUCUCAUGAGACACCACAUAUUUCUUCGUACGUGUCUCACAUUCCUAUGAGUCCAUAAUAUUUGGUGGUGGUGGUGGUGUUAUGUCCGCCCUCUGCAGGUAUACACCACGCAUUCUUCUUAUUAAAGAUCAUUCGAUGGGUGAUUGGACAAGUCAGCAUAAAUAUGCAGGUUUGCAGAGCUUUCUGCUGACCACCGUGCUAUUGGAAGCCACUGUGCAUUCCUAUGAGUCCAUAAUAUUUGGUGGUGGUGGUGGUGUUAUGUCCACCCUCUGCAGGUAUGCACCACGCAUUCUUCUUAUUAAAUAUCUUUCGAUUGGUGAUUGGACAAGCCAGCAUAAAUAUGCAGGUUUGCAGAGCUUUCUGCUGACCACCGAGCUACAGGAAGCCACUGUGUGGGGCCCCCUUACACUAAAAGAGGAAAAUUCUAAAAACUAAAUUACUUAAGUAUCCCUCCAUAGGAGUGAGUACUUUUUGUUUUUAUUUUUUUGUUAGAAGUGGAUAUAUAUAUAUAUAUAUAUAUAUAUAUAUAUAUAUAUAUAUAUAUAUAUAUAUAUAUAUAUAUAUAUAUAUAUAUAUAUAUUGGAAUCAAUGUUGACAUGUGUUAAAUUUCUUAAUAUGCUAUAUCAAAAAUUAUAAGUUCGAAAC
rnacentral:lncRNA from 1 species